rnacentral:rRNA from 1 species
ACAGAGGUCUCAAGCGUUGUUCGGAUUCAUUGGGCGUAAAGGGUGCGUAGGCGGCGGGGCAAGUCUGAUGUGAAAUCCCGGGGCUCAACCCCGGAACUGCAUUGGAUACUGCUCUGCUUGAGCACUGGAGAGGAGACUGGAAUUUACGGUGUAGCAGUGAAAUGCGUAGAGAUCGUAAGGAAGACCAGUGGCGAAGGCGAGUCUCUGGACAGUUGCUGACGCUGAGGCACGAAGGCCAGGGGAGCAAACGGGA